UGCGUAGGUGGUUUCUUAAGUCAGAGGUGAAAGGCUACGGCUCAACCGUAGUAAGCCUUUGAAACUGGGAAACUUGAGUGCAGGAGAGGAGAGUGGAAUUCCUAGUGUAGCGGUGAAAUGCGUAGAUAUUAGGAGGAACACCAGUUGCGAAGGCGGCUCUCUGGACUGUAACUGACACUGAGGCACGAAAGCAUGGGGAGGCAAACA
rnacentral:rRNA from 1 species